GCUUGGAUGGCUCAGUUGGUUAGAGCGCAGGUCUCAUACGUCGUAUGACCACUCAUGCAGUGGGCCAUCCUGAGGUCGUGAGUUCGACCCUCACUCCGAGCA